GGACUCAAACUCAUGAACCGUGAGAUCAUGACCUAAGCUGAAGUCAAACACUUAACCAACUGAGCCACUCAGGUGCCCCUGUUACUUUUUUUUUUAAACUAGAAGAUCAGUUUUCAGGAAUUCAGGAGAAAAUACCUAUCCAAGCUUGGUUAUUCUUCCAGAGUUUAGGCAGCUUAACUAAAAAGGGAAAAUAUUUCAAAAUCACUUGAUUUAAAACCACUGAAGAAUGGUAUGAUGACAUAUGUAGGAUUAGAAUGUGAUACUUAAAAGUAAUUAUUAACCACAAAAAAUAAGAACAACUUAGAAUCAUCUGAACAUAUACACAAUGUGGAACUUAAAUGUUUUCUUAGGAAAUGUGGAAUAAACUAUCUCCUUUCACUCAGCUUUGACUUAAAAGAUAUCUCAACUGCAUUUUGGGUAGAGUUUGUUAGGUAGCAACAAAUGUUGAAGACAAAGUGCCGUUAAAAAGAAAACCACAGGCCCAAAAUGGUGUCACUAAAAUGGCAUCACUUAGGCUAAGUCACCAAAUCGGGGCUUAAUAACUAUCCUAACUGCACUUUCAACGAAUCCGAGAAAUAUAGUGUUUUUUUUCUAAAGUUUCUCUAUUCUGAGAUAGAGAAAGGGAACGAAAAGAGAGAGAAUGUGAGCAGGGGAGAGGCAGAGAGAAAGAGAGAGGGGGAGAAUCCCAAACAGGAUCAGUGCUGUCAGAUAGGAGCCUGACAAGGACUCAAUUUAAUGAACCAUUAGAUUAUGACCUGAGCCAAAAUCAAGGGUCAGAUGUGCAACCCACUGAGCCACCCAGGAGUCCCCCAGAAAUAUAGUGUUUACCUGUCAGAAACUUUCUGGUCACCACUACAACAGCAAUCUGUCAUGUGGGCCCUCUCCAUCCCCCAAAGGAAGAAGAGAUAAUCCAUCUAAUAGGACCCUGUCCAUCCCCCUAACAGAAGAUGACCUUGCCUGGAACAACCCUUUUUUGUUGUCGUUGUUUUUGUUUUUGCUAAUAACUUUCUCAAUCCAACCUCCUUCCUAUAAAAACCUUUCAUUUUGUGGCACUCUCCAGGGCUCCCCUACUUGCUAGUCUGCUGCUAGAUUCAUGAAUAUUCAAUAAAGCCAAUUAGAUAUUUA